rnacentral:sRNA from 1 species
UAUUCUUGAGGAAUGCAAGUGCGUUUUGUUUGGAAAAAGCAUUCUUAUUCUGAUCGUUGUGAAGUGAAGUAUCAUUUUUCUGUGCAAAUAAGUUAUAAAGUGUUGAAAAUAACAAAUAAAAAGGUCAAAUCAAAAUUUUAGCUGAUGCUUUAGCUGAGUUGAAGGUGAUGGUGCUACGAAUUCAAAGUGAUGAGAUACCAUUAUCGAAUAGGUUCCCCAUCACUUAUGAAAAAUAUUGAGAAUCAAUACAUAUAUGUAAAGAUUAUAGCAUCAAUUAUAAAAGGAGAGGAAACAUCGAAAUGUUUAAAAAUGUUAUCGGUUCAAAUAUAACUACGAGUAUAAUAUUGAGGAAAAAAGUUUGAAGUCCCUAAGUAAUAUAUACAACGUUAUUUUAGAUAAGGUGUAUAUAAACAUUAUUUUUAUAUUCUACAUUUUCAUACAUUAACCGUUAUUUUUUGCAGAUUCAAUACCAGUUACAGAAUAUUCGGACACCCCUGAAACACAACUACGAAAAGCAAUACAAGUGCUUUUAUAAAUAUUAAAUUAAAUUUAUUUUUGUUCAAGUUUUAUAGAGUAAGGUAUAUUUGUAUUCAUUUGUUUGCAAUAAAAAAAUGAAUUAAAACUAAAAAUUAGAAUUUCACUAACAAUAAUUGGUACUGAACUAGUUCAUGGGAAACCAGUUUAAAAUUGGUCUGCUUAUACUAGAUAAGGGAUAGUCAAAUGACACUAGUACAUAACUGUAUACAUAGAACUAGUUAAAAGGUAGUCUGCUGACACUAGUCUGUGGCUGUGUACUUGGAACUUG